rnacentral:rRNA from 7 species
CAGGUUUACCUGUGUGACUGCGUACCUUUUGUAUAAUGGGUCAGCGACUUAUAUUCUGUAGCAAGGUUAACCGUAUAGGGGAGCCGUAGGGAAACCGAGUCUUAACCGGGCGUUAAGUUGCAGGGUAUAGACCCGAAACCCGGUGAUCUAGCCAUGGGCAGGUUGAAGGUUGGGUAACACUAACUGGAGGACCGAACCGACUAAUGUUGAAAAAUUAGCGGAUGACCUGUGGCUGGGGGUGAAAGGCCAAUCAAACCGGGAGAUAGCUGGUUCUCCCCGAAAGCUAUUUAGGUAGCGCCUCGUGAAUUCAUCUCCGGGGGUAGAGCACUGUUUCGGCUAGGGGGCCAUCCCGGCUUACCAACCCGAUGCAAACUGCGAAUACCGGAGAAUGUUAUCACGGGAGACACACGGCGGGUGCUAACGUCCGUCGUGAAGAGGGAAACAACCCAGACCGCCAGCUAAGGUCCCAAAGUCAUGGUUAAGUGGGAAACGAUGUGGGAAGGCCCAGACAGCCAGGAUGUUGGCUUAGAAGCAGCCAUCAUUUAAAGAAAGCGUAAUAGCUCACUGGUCGAGUCGGCCUGCGCGGAAGAUGUAACGGGGCUAAACCAU